rnacentral:rRNA from 1 species
GAUGAACGCUGGCGGCGCGCCUAACACAUGCAAGUCGAACGAUUAAAGCACCUUCGGGUGUGUAUAAAGUGGCGAACGGCUGAGUAACACGUGGGCAACCUGCCCCUCUCAUCGGGACAGCCUCGGGAAACCGUGGUUAAUACCGAAUACUCCGUUUCCUUCACAUGUAGGAAACGGGAAAGCUCCGGCGGAGAGGGAUGGGCCCGCGGCCUGUUAGCUUGUUGGUGGGGUAAUGGCCUACCAAGGCAACUAUGGGUAGCCGGGUUGAGAGACCGACCGGCCAGAUUGGGACUGAGACACGGCCCAGACUCCUACGGGAGGCAGCAGUGGGGAAUAUUGCACAAUGGGCGAAAGCCUGAUGCAGCGACGCCGCGUGCGGGAUGAAGGCCUUCGGGUUGUAAACCGCUUUCAGCAGGGAUGAGGCCGCAAGGUGACAGUACCUGCAGAAGAAGCUCCGGCUAACUACGUG